CCUACGGGAGGCAGCAGUGAGGAAUAUUGGUCAAUGGCCGGAAGGCUGAACCAGCCAAGCCGCGUGAAGGACGAAGGUGCCAAGCAUUGUAAACUUCUUUUGUAAAGGGACAAAAUCAGGCUCGAGAGCCUGACCGAGGGUACUUGAAGAAAAAGCAUCGGAUAACUCCGUGCCAGCAGCCGCGGUAAUACGGAGGAUGCGAGCGUUAUCCGGAUUUGUUGGGUUAAAGGGGUGCGUAGGCGAGCUGUUAAGUCAGCGGUAAAAGCCCGGGGCUCAACCCCGGCGAGCCGUUGAAACUGGCUGUCUGGAGAGGGCGAGAGGUAUGCGGAAUGCGCAGUGUAGCGGUGAAAUGCUUAGAUAUUGCGCAGAACUCCGAUUGCGAAGGCAGCAUACCGGCGGCGAUCUGACGCUGAGGCACGAAAGCGUGGGUAUCGAACAGGAUUAGAUACCCUUGUAGUC
rnacentral:rRNA from 1 species